CCUACGGGAGGCAGCAGUGGGGAAUAUUGGACAAUGGGGGGAACCCUGAUCCAGCGACGCCGCGUGAGUGAAGAAGUAUUUCGGUAUGUAAAGCUCUAUCAGCAGGGAAGAAAAUGACGGUACCUGACUAAGAAGCCCCGGCUAACUACGUGCCAGCAGCCGCGGUAAUACGUAGGGGGCAAGCGUUAUCCGGAUUUACUGGGUGGAAAGGGAGCGUAGACGGUGAAGCACGUACUAUGUGAAAGGUUGGGGCCCAACCCCGGGACUGCAUUGGAAACUGUUGAACGGGAGUACAGGAGAGGUAAGCGGAAUUCCUAGUGGAGCGGUGAAAUGCGUAGAUAUUAGGAGGAACACCAGUGGCGAAGGCGGCUUACUGGACUGUAACUGACGUUGAGGCUCGAAAGCGUGGGGAGCAAACAGGAUUAGAUACCCGGGUAGUC
rnacentral:rRNA from 1 species